UUUAACGGGUGCGGGGCGAUACAGGCACCCAUUGUUGUACAGGUAACAGGUGAACCAUGAGAAGCUUGGCGUGGCUGCGGCAGGCGCUACUGGCGGUGGUGAUGCUUGUGUUGGUGGCGGGUCUCGCCACAGCUAUACCAGCGAUGGAACCUGCCGCUCGCGUGGAGCGCAGUGCCUUGCCCGGCACGUGGGGGUGCAGUCCAAGCUCGCAAUGUCAAGAUUCACCAAAGUAUGGAUAGACUAUCCGCUCACUGGCUUCCCUCAUGACUGACCGCUGCCCGACGAAGAACUUUCGAAAACACACACACACACACACAUUAGAUAUAAGCUGUAAUUAUUCCCUUUGUCUUCUUUUUCUAAUCCACUUUCAUUCCUUUGACUUGUUUCCAACAGGAAUUAGUUCUAAAAUCUAUAAUUUCCUUUCUAUGUUCUUUUUUCUCGCAAUAAAAAAUGCAUAUGC